CAAUGCUUUGGUCGGUGCAUUUUCUUGCAUCGUUCAAUGUAUUUCAAUCCGAUUGUUCUGAGAUUAUACUGUCAAAACUUGAUCUAGAUAAUACUAGCGAAAGGACAUGCGUGGCUUUGAUA
rnacentral:ncRNA from 1 species